rnacentral:tRNA from 2 species
GCCAGAGUAGCUCAGUUGGUAGAGCAGCUGAUUUGUAAUCAGCCGGUCGCGGGUUCGAUUCCUGUCUCUGGCUCCA